ensembl:lncRNA
CAUGCGCGAACACCGUAGGACCGCUGUAAAAUUGACGGACUGUACUGCCCACGUCUGUCCAGUCAGCUCCUGGUCCAUCACAUCGCUGUCUUUUCUUUUUUAAAGCUCUUUUUGCUGAGAUUUGCGUGUCUCUCCACUUCCGGGUUUUUCUUCUUCGUCUGUUUUAAUGGUGACGCUUCAGAGUUUUUAUUCUUCUCAUUUGUACGUUGCAUUUCCGGGAACAAGACCCCGACGUGUCGUGUAUGAACGUACAGUGUGAGCAGUCAGAUCGAAUCAAAAUAUCGGUCCGUAUAGUGUGAGAACAUGCAUCAUGAGCUGCCCACAUUCGGGUUCUGCACAUGAGUCGCACAGCUUGAGCUGGAGCUGAGUACAAGGAUUGAAAAAAUCACAGUGUAUCCCAGCCGGUGUGGCCGCCAUAUUGUGAGGUCAAAUGAUGUGUGACGACCUUGGUAGAUCUGGUUCAGAAAACAAAAGUCCCAGAUGGCAAUGGGUGAAGAGGAGAAGGACGACAACGGAGCAUCAAGUCUGCACAACAUCCUUGUUGGUGCUGACUAUAAAGAAAUGAAGAAUUGAACCAUGAAAGAGUGCCUCAGUGGAAACGUCCUCGACCACUGGAAUCGAGUGUUCACAGUCAGGAAGCCUGUGAUCGCAGCCGUCAAUGGGUUUGCUGGGCCGGGGUUAGUCAGUGACUCACUCGUGCUAUGGGUAAAACUCUGGCUAUGGAGAUGGUGCUGACAGGUGACUGGAUCAGUGCUCAGGAGGCCAAACAGUCAACACGUGUGGAAACAUUUGUUCUAGUGUAAACCAUCAAAAGAAAUUAAAAAGUAAAUAUCAGUCAGUAAAAAAACAUUGUGUAACAUAUUACAAAACACACAAAGGUAUUGAAAAUAUAUGAAACCAUCUUUUGAAAACAUAGACGUAUAUUACAUAUAUCAGCGAAAAAUCUUUAACUGCAUUUGUUUUUCUCAGGUUUGGUGAGUAAAGUCAAUCCAGUGGAUCAGCUGGUCUCUGAAGCCAUUAGGUGUAGAGAAAAAAUAGCUGCAACCUCCAAGCUAAUCGCUGCUAUGGUUAAAGAGUCUGGUAAUGCAGGUGUGUAGAGAUUGAAUGUAUUUGUAAUGCUAAAACUUCUUAUUUUACUAAAUUAACUCUGUUUCCAUAUUGUUUUUCUGGUUACACAUCAGCGUUUGAGCUCACUCUGGCUGAAGUCAAUCGCUUUGAAAGGCGUUUAAAUGUCAAUGUUUGAAAGUAGAAUUUAAUAUUUAAGUUUUGUGAGCAUCUUGUUUUUUUUAUAGAAGGUAAUAUGAUCUUAAAACAUCCAAAAUGUGAUUUCAACUCAAUCCCUUUAUAACCAAAAGUCUCAAACAGCAGCACUGAUAGUAAUAACUACUCUUCAAGCACAAACGGUGCAGUGUUUGUUUUAAAUUAUUAUUCUCAAAAUAUUUGACUUUUUGUUUACAACAAAAACAUCAAUAUUUUGUCAAGCAUUAACACUGUGUUUGAAAUUGGAGUUUGGCAUACA